ensembl:lncRNA
CAGCUAUUAACAUUUCAACACCUUGCUGGGAAAGAAAUAGCAUCACCACUGGCAUUGUGGCUGAAGAAUGAGACAAGUUCCAUGAAAACUGAUGUCAUUCCUUCAACAUCUUCCAAGCUAGGCCUAUCUAAUUUUAAAUUAUUGGAUGCAUUUUAACAGUUCAGAUUUCCAAUGAGAAAACAAGACACAUAAGAAUAUCUCUUCCAAAAGACGAAAACUAGCAAAAAUAAGCUAAGCAAACUAAAGUGAAAGUGCUAGUCGCUAAGCCGUGUCCUACUCUUUGCAACCUCAUGGACUGUAGACUUCCAGGCUCCUCUGUUCAUAGAAUUCUCCAGAAAUGCAUAAUGAAAUAUUUACAGGUGCAAUUGUAUGAAGUCUGCGGAAAUAGAUCAAGAUGUGCACUAAAUCAGACUGGCUUUUACAAGCAUUACAAACUUUC